rnacentral:rRNA from 1 species
GACGAACGCUGGCGGCGUGCUUAACACAUGCAAGUCGAACGGAACGCCUUGGAAAGAGAUUUCGGUCAAUGGAAGGGGUUGUUUAGUGGCGGACGGGUGAGUAACGCGUGAGGAACCUGCCUUUCAGAGGGGGACAACAGUUGGAAACGACUGCUAAUACCGCAUAAUGCAUAGGUAUCGCAUGGUACAGAUGCCAAAGAUUUAUCGCUGAGAGAUGGCCUCGCGUCUGAUUAGCUAGUUGGUAGGGUAACGGCCUACCAAGGCGACGAUCAGUAGCCGGACUGAGAGGUUGGCCGGCCACAUUGGGACUGAGAUACGGCCCAG